rnacentral:rRNA from 1 species
GCCUGCCCUAUGAAUAAUUUUGUUUUAAAUGGCUGCGGUAUUUUGACCGUGCAAAGGUAGCAUAAUAAUUAGUUUCUUAAUUGGGAACUGGAAUGAAUGGUCGAACGAGAAAAAGACUGUCUCAAUUUAAUUUUAAUUAGAAUUUUAUUUUUAAGUAAAAAAGCUUAAAUAUUCUUAAAAGACGAGAAGACCCUAUAGAGUUUUAUAUUGAUUAUUAUUAUUGAAAGUUAAAGUAUUUUAGAUUUAAUAAUAAUAAUUAGUAUUUAGUUGGGGCGAUUGAAAAAUUUAAUAAACUUUUUUUAAAUUAUACCAUUAAUUUAUGAAUAAAUGAUCCAUAUUUUAUGAUUAAAAGAUU